CGUGAAAAUAGUAAAAAAAGAAAACAUUAUGAAACAUCUGUUAUGUACAUCUUUUGUGUUCUAUUUUCAGGUUGUGGUCUAUUGGUUGUGUCAUCUGCAGCGGAGAUGUAUUGGAGUCUUUUCUUGUGAUUGCCAUCAUAGCGGUGCUAACAACAGGAGAUUUCUCCAAGCAAAAACAAGGAUGCUGAUUAUGAGGGGCUUAUUAUAUGGCCAGCUGACCAUUUUAUUGAAAUGCAGAAUUAGUUUGUGGUCUGGAUCAUGUCAUCUGCAGUAAAUUCCAGUUGGAGCCAUUACUUGUGAUUGCCAUCAUAACAGUGAUAACAUCAGCUGGUAAGUUAGCCAAAGUAAACUAGUUAAAAGUGUUUUUUUUUAAUUUUUUUUUAUCGUUAUCCAUUCCCUGGGAAUCAACUCCAUUAUUUCAGCAAUACAGCACUUUGCUCUACUGUUUUAUCUACAGGAAUGCAUUGUAAGGAAUGAAGCUUUAAUGUUUUGUGAAUGAUUAUAAAGUAAUAGCUCCUUCCUUGUAGGUGC